CACUUUUUUCGACCGGCUCCUAUUUUUAUAAGAUACAGAGUAAUAGUGAAAUCCAGCUUUGACUCAUGUAUGGAAAACCUGGGAUACCUGCUUCUCUCUCGCAUUGUAGGAAAUCGACGUGCGAAAUUAAUAAGCUUGAAACAUGAUUCAGAAAAUGGAUCAAGUAUUCUUCUGGAUCAAGUAUAUGUCAGAUUUUGAGCAAGGAGGCAUUCUGCCUUUGUACAAUCAACUGAGGCCUCCCCGGCUCAUGAAAUGAGUAAGUGUUGUGUUGAAGCACAGCUCUGUAUUGGGACAUUUUGCGUGGGCUUUAGUUGUGACAAUUAACACAAUACCCAACAAAAAGACUUACAAAUAGUGGUUGACAGAGGUGGGGAAGAUGCUUUCUUUGCGAGCAGCUACAAUGGAGGAGUCAUUGCUGUUGCUGAUGGCGUUUCUGGGCUAUCAGCUCGCUCAUUACUCCAUAUCCUCUAGCUGAGUUGGUUGCCUGAGAUGGACCAUGGUCCCUUAGAGAGGACAGAGACAGAGGAGGCAGCUGCAGGGUUAAAGUAACAUCCGGGUGGGGAUGUUCCACCCCAGGUACUGCAUGGCAAUACCUUGACAAAGUUCUUUACUAGUUUAAUAUGGGUUCUCUAUCCUCUAUCCCAGUGAGCUGUUUUUUUUUUUUAAUAUUAUGUCAUGUAUGUCCUCUAUCAAAAUCUAUCUAUGAUAAUAGUAGGUUUGAAAAGCAUAGAAUGGAAAUUAGGGAAAGCAUAAGCUUCUCAUCACUUGAAAAGUUGAAUAAUAGCUAUGACAGUACAAAGUUUCUAUCUUUUUAAAUCCCAUCAGUAAUCAGCUUAUGUAGCUUGUUCUCAUCACUUGAUGAGUUAUUAUUGAAAUGCACGGCAGAAAAGUAUGUAGUUAUGAGAGUAAAAGUUUAAUCAUAUUAAAUCCUCACCAGCUUAUAUGCUUCUGAUCAAUUGCUUCGAUCCUUUUUCUGAUUAGAAAUGAUGAGGGGGGCAAUCUCCUUCACUCGUUGUUCGGUCAUUACCACAGUAACUGGAGGUGCAGGAAUUUCUGCUGGCUUCCUGAGUUUCCAGGUUAGACAGCCGAAGGCUAACAGUUGCAAGAUCAACACAAGUUCUGUAAAAGAAAAGGUGCACAGAAUCCAUUAACAUAAAUUAGUAGUGGUAUAUCCAUCACCUCUCUUCCAGGAAGAGCAACACACAAUCUGUUAAUGUAAGACUUGAUAAAAAGAGAAGGUGCACAGAAUUCAUUGACAUAAAUUAGUGAUAUAUCUAUCACCUCUCUUGCAGGAAUCAUCAUCCUUAUCGGCCCUCUUUUUCUUGUUAGCAUCCUUAUUAUCACUCCCUUUUCCAUUAUCCAUAUCAUUAUCAUCCUUUUUUGGCUUUCAUGGUUAACUUGGAAUUUCCUGUAUUCAUAACAUUGUUCAUUAUAAAAUGUAUAUAAAAUGUAAGUUGAACAUUAAGUUGGUAUAAAACUACCAAGCGGAUGAUUUUUGCCCUUUUGAAGGCUGAUGAUCCCUUUCCAAGGUUUCAUCCCUGAAAAUUAAAAUGAAUCUAAAGUAAUUAUGCAAAUUCAUAUCAAUUCAAACGCAUAUUUAUUUAUAUUAGUGAGCACAGAUUCAGAGACUAAGUUAAAUAAUCAGAUCAAUGGCACAUAUAUCAAUAGAGAAAUAAGAUAAAUAAUGAGAUCUGUUUUAGUUGUUUUAGUUGGAUCAGAUUAGUGAGCAAUUUAUUCAUUGGAUACGCACAAAAUGUACAAACAUUGUCUUGAAUCACAAAAUUUCAUUAAAAAAAGAACAGUUAUCUAUUGAUUGACUUUAGAUACGAUUCAAAUAUAUCUGGACAAAAAUGCACAAUUUCAUAAUAAUAAUAAAAAAAAACAGUUAUUUAUCGAUAUACGAUUUAAAAAAUUUGGACGACAAAUAUACCUCUCUUGAUACUGAGGUUUCUUUGAAGAUCCAAUCCGUUUCUCGCAACGACUGAUGGAUGUAAAAUUAUUAAAUCCUUUGCCUUCAUCGGUGUGAACCUACAAGUGAUUUGGGGAAUCGCCGCCGCCAUUCUCUCUCUAUCUUCGCGAAUAAUGUGGUAUUUUGUUAGGGUUUACAUAUAUUUUGGUAAAGUAUCAAAAAAAAAAUAAAAACACUCAACUAAUUCAAUGUAGGUUUAAAUCAUCUAUAAUAAUUUUUUGGGAAAAUGCUAGACAUCACAAAUUAUUGUAUCACAAGAAUAACUCGAAUUAGGUGGCCAAUGACGUAGCUAAUGAUAUGGCAAUGUGUUAUUGUGAAAGCAAUUUGCUUGAGAGAAUUUAGUAUAUAACAAAGAGACAAAAAAAAGGGUAAGAGUAAAUUGCACUCACCCCCCAGGUUUGGGUUAAAGACACCUAGCUACAACUUGGACACUGGACACUGUUUGGACAAUGACGCCCUCUAGAUUUGCCAAAUUGAACAAUUACACCCUAACUACCUUUGACACAAGUAAAAUUACCUUAUUAACCUUUUACUUAUCAAUUGAACUUAUCAAUUGACCCAUUGGAAUGCUGAAUUACCCAUUUAACCUUCUAACUAUUUUUAAUAUACCAAACUAACAUCUUCAUCACUAUACAGAAUCUAUAUAUAUAUAUAUAUAUAUGUAUGUAUGUAUGUAUCAUCUCGUUCUCUUAUACGUAUACAAUAAUCCGAUUCAUUAAAGAUGUUUUUCUAGGAAUUAUCCUAAUUUUUUUAAUACAAUUUUUGAAAGAAAAGCAGAUUAAAUAGGUUAUUAAGCAGGUCUUACUGUAUUGUAAAUUACAUGACCUAUUAUUAAACAAGUUAUACACGGUCCUGUCAAUUACCUGUUUAAUAAACGAGUCAGUAUUGGUCUAUGCUCCAUGUGUGGUUUGUCCUUUUAAUGUCAAGGCAUUAGUCACACUAUACUUCUUCUGGUCCUUCAUAUAAAAUGCAUUAACUUCAGGUCAUCUAUAUCUCAUCUCUUAUAGGCUCACUGCAGUACAUUAGUUCAUUCAUGUUUUGUUUUGUCCAGCAAAGUGAUUCUGCAUAAUUAAGAUUUCAUAUGUCCCUGUGACAAUAUUAUUCACUUGUGCUCAUUUUUCUGAUGUACAUCAGCAGCUAUGCACUAACAGCCCUCAAAGGGCAUUUCUGUCUUUCACCUCUGAAUGCAGGUGACCAAUCAUGUGCUCAAUAGGUAUCCUAUAUUCUCGAGUCUUGUAUUCUCAGAGAAUGUCUUGUGUCCCUUGCUGAUGCACAACAGAAUUUGAGUUACGAGGUCUUUUGUGUCUUUUGUGUAUUGCUCUAAAAAAAGCAAGGGUAAAAAAGGUCUAUUCAGAGAUGCAAAUGGUCAGAAAAUUGCCGGCAAUUCUCUGAGACAGCUAGCUCCUUUUUUCUCCAACAGAUACAUCAUCUUCUUCCUAUUUUAGAAGGCCUUGCAGCAGCAGAAUAGAGUGAGCUCAUUCCACGGCUACCUGAGCCUUUGAGAGCAAAAAAUUUCUGAGAUCCAGAUUACCUAGCUUAUCAGAACCCAAGAAUGACUUUGCUUGUGAAAUUCUUGUAUUAGUAGUAGCUGCAGCCUCUCAGCUAGCUGUAGAAGGUGCUGACAGCAACCAAUUAGAGCUCAAGCGUAUGGCAAUCCAGUUACACUUUUCAUCUGAUCACAGAAAUGGUUUGAGCAAACUUUCCAUACUCUGCAGCAAGUUUGCGGCAUCAUGCUUGUAUUCACUCUGCAGCAAGUUUAUCUGUGUCGAACCAUUCACUGCUGCUGUACAUCCAGCAAAGCGCUUCGCAUCUCAAGUCUAAUACAACCUUGCUGCAUCUUACUGAGAACUUUAUUCAAGGAAGUGUAAUCCAACAUAAUGAAGCUGCUAACAAGCAAGGAUUGAGGCUCCAUCUUCCUCACUUCAGUUCUUGCAGUCUUUUAUAGGUUUAGUGUAAAUUAUACAUCAUCUUCUGUAUCUUUAUUUUGUGUUUGUGAGGUGUUUUCAGUUCAAGUAGUGAGUUUUGGUGAGUGAUUUGAGAGUGAGACAGCGAGUGUGUAAUCUCCGAUCAUUCACAGUGGACUUUUGGUGAGCUCCAUUAGCUCCAAGGUUUUUACUUCAUACUGGGGGUUUUCUUAUGGGUUCAUGAUUGUGGCAUUUUAUCGAACGUCUGCAAGGAGUUAGGGUUUCAUACAAAAUCUUGUCAAGUAUUUGGUUCGGCGCAAGCAUACUGCCUUCACAGCCUUACUCUACGGUCAGUAUGAACAACCUUCAUCAGUCAUGUUUGUGAUGAGGGUCUUGACACCAGUAUUAAAAUGGUGUUUAGGUUGAGCUAUGUAACAGAAUAUUAUUUUGGGUUCAGGGGACAUGAAUAUGACCCUCCAACACAAAGUGUACCCCUAGUGAUACUCAUCUUUCUUGAGGUAUGUGAAAAGAAAGAAAAAAAAAAUGUAUAUCCCAUUGCAUGUCAUUAAACGUAUAUUUGAUGUUGAUUCAAAGAUUGCACUAAUCUAUCUUUGUCCAGCAUUUCCGUUGGAUGGUGUAAAGAUGGAAAGCACAUUCUGUCAUUUGAAUUUGUUGACAUUUAAGUAGAUGGGAAUUUAUUAUAAAUAUACAUAUACAA